UAAGGCUCACAUUUAACUUAAAUUAUGAGGUCUAUACUUAAGGUGCCGUGAUGAAGAAGGCCACUUAAAAUCUAUGUCAUAUGAUUGCUAUCAGAUAUCAAAGGAAUGACUAAGUCCCGCGUGGAGUUUGCGUACGCAAUAUCGGAGUCGCGUCCUCUCGUGAGUACGAGUUGUCGCAAGUUUAUUUUAAGGAGGCGCCAGCGUAUUGUUCUCGUAAAAAAAUUUGUUUUUUCGCUUUCCUAGGUCACUUAAAGCCAUCACAAGGGCGACGAGCAAGUAUGUACCGUGACGGAGUAUAGAGACGAUUUGCCAUGACAACGUUUGGGAAGAGAGUACAACACUUGCUGCAAUUCUUAACGGUGUUCGCCUCCAAGUCAAAACCACAGGCCUUGCAGUUAACAAGGCACUCUCACUGAUUCCUUUACUGAAUGGAUACAGCUUCCUUCCCACCUCACACCAUUAAGUUAUCUCAGAGGCUUAAAAAUAUACCAAGAAUUGUGGCAGGCUCCUGACUUUCCCUUGUGUAGAAAUGACAGUCUCUCGUAACGCAACAUUAUGACCUCACCGUAGUGUUUUUUGUUUAUUUGUGCAAAUCUAAUGAAGUCAACCUAAACGAAUUUGGGAUUCUAAAUGAAUAUUUGGGCUGUUUGAUUCUAAACUGGUAAUUGAUUUCCAUGACAAGCCGCAACAGUUGGAUUGUUGGAGGCAUUUCAUAUUUAGUUUUGUACUUAUUUAAUGAUAUUAAAUACUUUUACAGCAGAGCAAAUUAUUGCAGAUGGCAAAACAAGUAAAAUGAUCAGACAUUCGUAAAACAGUUCGAUCAAAGGGUUAAGAACUGCCAAAACUAUUUUGGAAGAGAGAAGAGGUAGCUGUGACCCUUUGCCAUCAAACUAACGAGAACUUGACUUCGAAUCAUUUAUCAUCACAGAGGAAAAACAAAUGUUUUACAGGUCUAAUUACAUUUGUGAUUUCAAUUGCUAUGGCAACAAUUUUCAUGCCCCAGUUGAAUUUAAAAAGGCUGACAUUAAAGAUGUUUGAAGUAUUGCAAGUCACCUCAGUGGUAGACUCACAACGGUUGGAAAAUCUUUUGUUUCUAAAAGUUGAAAAAAAGUUGAAUUAAGGUUAAACCUUAGGAAUAACUGAAGCCAGUUAUUUA